rnacentral:misc_RNA from 1 species
GAUGAAGAACGUAGCGAAAUGCGAUAAGUAGUGUGAAUUGCAGAAUUCAGUGAAUCAUCGAAUCUUUGAACGCACAUUGCGCCCUUUGGUAUUCCAAAGGGCAUGCCUGUUCGAGCGUCAUUUGUACCCUCAAGCUUUGCUUGGUGUUGGGCGUCUUGUCUCUAGCUUUGCUGGAGACUCGCCUUAAAGUAAUUGGCAGCCGGCCUACUGGCUUCGGAGCGCAGCACAAGUCGCACUCUCUAUCAGCAAAGGUCUAGCAUCCAUUAAGCCUUUUUUUCAACUUUUGACCUCGGAUCAGGUAGGGAUACCCGCUGAACUUAAGCAUAUCAAUAAGCGGAGGA